rnacentral:rRNA from 1 species
UGAGGAAUUUUCCACAAUGGGCGAAAGCCUGAUGGAGCAAUACCGCGUGAAGGAUGACGGCCCUCGGGUUGUAAACUUCUUUUAUAUGUGAAGAUUAUGACGGUAACAUAUGAAUAAGCAUCGGCUAACUACGUGCCAGCAGCCGCGGUAAUACGUAGGAUGCAAGCGUUAUCCGGAAUUAUUGGGCGUAAAGAGUGUGUAGGUGGUCUGUUAAGUUAAAUGUUAAAUCUCAGGGCUCAACCCAGAGGCUGCAUUUAAUACUGGCAGACUUGAGGUAUGGAGAGGUAAGCGGAAUUAGUAGUGUAGCAGUGAAAUGCGUAGAUAUUACUAGGAACACCAAUGGCGAAGGCAGCUUACUGGCCAUAAUCUGACACUGAGACACGAAAGCGUGGGGAGCGAACGGG